AGUAUGAUGCUAAAGGAACUUCAGAGCACAAGAUAAAGCGAUUAUUCAGGUGAAUUUAACUGAAGGAAGCACAACUCGGAGACAAGAGGAAGGGAACAAAUACUGUAAGGGUUUGAGGGCACCUGGCUGGCUGGGAAACCAGUGAGCACGAGUUCAACCCAAGCACUGAUCGGGCAAUUUUCUGUGUUUCUGCAACAAGUUUCAAUGAAAGAUUUCUGAUUCAUGCACUGUUAAUUAAAACUCCAAGCACCCCUGAAGAAGGUCAGUGCAAGCUGAACAGCUACUGUCAAACAUGGUGCAUCAGACUUUCUAACGGUUAUCCAGGAGGAAACUGCUCUUCAAAAACUUGAAUAAGUGUUUUUGGGGAAAAUAGCACCAUUUUGGUUCUCUCUGGCUGUCUGACGCCCAUUUAUUUGGUAUCCAAACAGCUUUAAAGCACUCGUUAUCAUCUUGCCUAGAGUGAGCAGAUAACGGGGACUAUGGGAAGGACUUUGCCUACUAAAUCUUGUAUCUUUGUUUUAGGAAAACUGCCUGUUCUACAGAAGAACAAAAUGGGAGCCUGGAUCCAUAUUUGCAACCAGCUUCGACAAGAGCUGUGCAUCUCGCUGCUCACCUGUGCCGAGCUGCUACUGCCUCCCACACCCGGCCCUUCCUAGCUCUAUCUUGUAAACCCGGAUUCGGUAAAGUUUUUGAGGAUGAAUCCACCCCAAAAGUCCCAGGAGCGCUUCAGGAAGCAGCAGGGACAGGACGGGGUAUGGAAAUGAGGAAAAGAAGAGGAAACAUCUCCCCGUGGAGGCCAGCGUGUGCCCCGCUGUGGGCUGGCACAGGCUCUACUGCCCGUGGGAUGGCCGCCCUCUUGCACCCCACCACGGACCCACUGCUCCUCGGCGGGGAACGGGGCGCGCAGAAGGCGCAGCCCUUGCGACGGAGGAGUCUAAACUUGGCUCAGCUUCUGCGUGCGCCUUCCUCAGACAGACAGGGAGAUAUAACUCCAUCCACAGUGAGUGGCUCAGGGCUUGAGGUUGCAUCUGGUCACCGCUCCCUGCCCUGAGCACGCUGCUCCCAUGGUGGGAAGAUGCCGACUCCAGUUUCCAGCCAGCUUUUCUCCCAGGGAAGCUCACGAACAAGGUAGGCCUCGCUUGCCCGUUGCCUCUGCAAGCACUUCACACGGUAAACACGGCUCUGCAAAUUCAAAGCCACAAAUGAGUGAAGAUGAUACAGAUGUAGCUUGGAGGCUUCAGACUCACUUGCAAAUUAACAUAAUUUCUUAGAGGCAGGUCUGAUUAUAUCUUUGUGGGUAGCUAGGAGGGGAAUGGAGUCACAGAUACAUUAUGCAGUCUUCUCCUUACACUUUAAGGGGGGGAAGAAAAAGAGAACUGAUAUACCAAAUGUGAGAAAUCAAAACUUAGCUGUUCAGUUAGGGAGACUGUAAAGGGACCAUCGCCUGGGGGGGGGAAGAGGAUCUUCUGGGAAACAAAGGUGCUGUCAGCUUUCGUGUCUGUUCUAGGCGGUCCUAGCGUUAGGCAGCAUUGCUGCUCUGCCUUUUAGUAAUUUUAUGGACCUGAUAUUUUAAGGCACCAAAGGGAACGAUGAUGUUCAUUCGACAUGUGAGAUUAUAAAAUGGUGAAGUGUUUGUUUGCAUGGCCUGGAUUGGUAAUGUCUACUUCAGAGAGCUUGCUGUUUUAUUACCCACUUUUCUGGUGGAGAAUACCGGAAACAGAGAAACAGCAGAAUUAUUAUUAUUUAUUUUGUUGCAGUUAGGUUUUUAUGAAGAUAGGUGUACAGAUGGAUAUAGACAUAUGCCUGAGCAGCUGCAAAUACAAGACAAAAAUACAGGAUUUCCUUGCCAAAGCUGAAUUCCUGCCAGUCUUUGAGUCCUUUCUUGGGACACUUGUUUGCUGAAGAACACCAGUGGUUUGUUUUAAUGGAGCAUAAAAAACGGAGCACUGGUACAAGGAAGACUUGUGGGCAGAGAUGAAUAGAUGGACCACAUAGGCAAUGUGAGUUAUCUUUCAACAGUUCAUCACUGCAGUCAUUGCGCAAGCUGGGUUUUUUGCACCUGUGAAGAGGUGGGUACAUAUUCACUGGGGCAUUUGGGAACGGAAGUCUCCCAGGCUGGGUUAUGUGGUGGUAGUAGCAACGCAUGCACGUUAUUUUUACACCUGAUUGUGCAUAUGAUUGUGAGUAGAAGUAUCCGGGCACUUUCAGGAAAAAAAAGGCUGCUGAUUUACAUAUAUACUGUAUGUUUCCUAUAAAGCAAGGUGGCUAGGCAAUGUGAUGUUUUGCUACAAUGGUGUCCAUGUCUGUUAGCUGUGUAUCGUUUGAGGGAGUAGGUUAAAUUCUGCCUUUAGGUACACCCAUGUGUUUGAUACGGAAAUUGAGAAAUCUUAGCCGAUGAGGCGUUGCAGGUGUGCAGCUGGGGGCAGAAUUGAGCCCAUGGUUAGUACAGCCAUACAGGCAUCACUUCCUUCCUUCAUUCCCUGGAUGCUGUUUCUGCAUUGUGAAAUAUUCCCCUUGUCUUCCUUUUCUCUUUUCUGGAAAGACCUCCUCUAGCAUUUGCUGUGUUUAUAGCUUUUUAUGGGACUUGCAACUCUGAGUUUCAUUGCUGCUCCAUAAUCAAUGUUAAUUCUCCUCAUUUUAUGGUUUUAAAAACGUACAUGCCUUACUCUUACAAACUCUGUAAAAUACCAUUAGUCUGUCUUGGGAUGAUCAUACUUUGUUUACAGAUGCCUUGCUAUUGUAAU